GCAGAUCUCCAGCAGAAAGGUUUUGCUUCCAUUUAUUGUAAACAUUCGUUUGCGUAUAGAUAUCCAGUAGAAAUUUCUGAUAAAACAUUCGUCUAUUUAGAGCUCAAUCUCGUUCUUCACUUGGAAAUCGUGAUGGGAUUUCGAAUGAUGUGUAAAUGAUUAAUUACGUUGAAUACUGAAUAGUCUCGUACUACUCGCAUUAAUCUCGUACUGCUGACUUUGGGCUUCGUUCU